UGGGGGGGGGGGCAGGAGGGGCUCAGGGAAGAUCCCAUCCUGCAGGGGCCUUUUUCUCUCCCCCAACCCCUACCCUGGCUGCCA
rnacentral:miRNA from 1 species